GCCGCGGUAGCUCAGCCUGACGAAAGGGCUAAGGAGAGCAUCCGGCUGAAGACCGGAGGGUCGCCGGUUCAAGUCCGGCCCGCGGCA
rnacentral:tRNA from 1 species